GGACUUACUCUUCGGAGUGAGAGCGUACACAGGUGCUGCAUGGCUGUCGUCAGCUCGUGUCGUGAGAUGUGGGUUAAGUCCCGCAACGAGCGCAACCCUGCAUUCAGUUGCCAUCGGUAAGGCCGGGCACUCUGGAUGGACUGCCGGCGACAAGCCGGAGGAAGGUGGGGACGACGUCAAGUCAUCAUGGCCCUUAUGUCCAGGGCGACACACGUGCUACAAUGGCCGGCACAACGGGAAGCGAAGGGGCGACCCUGAGCGGAUCCCCAUAAAAGCCGGUCCCAGUUCGGAUUGCAGUCUGCAACUCGACUGCAUGAAGUUGGAAUCGCUAGUAAUCGUGGAUCAGCCAAGCCGCGGUGAAUACGUUCCCGGGCCUU
rnacentral:rRNA from 1 species